rnacentral:misc_RNA from 1 species
UGGGCUUGAAAUAUAGAGACCCUUUCGAGAAAUACCAUUUCUGGUAUCGUCCUCUAUAUUUCAAGCCCAGGUAAGGUUCUUCGCGUUGCAUCGAAUUAAACCACAUGCUCCACUGCUUGUGCGGGCCCCCGUCAAUUCUUUUGAGUUUCACCCUUGCGAGCGUACUCCCCAGGCGGCAUACUUAACGCGUUAGCUCCGAAACAGGGGGGGUUGAGCCCUCCUACUUCUAGUAUGCAUCGUUUAAGGCAUGGACUAC